rnacentral:rRNA from 1 species
GACGAACCGUACAAACGUUAUUCGGAAUUACUGGGCUUAAAGGGUGCGUAGGCGGUCGGGUAAGUCUGAUGUGAAAAUCUCACAGCUUAACUGUGAAACUGCAUUGGAUACUAUUCGGCUUGAGAGUUGGAGGGGGGACUGGAAUUCUUGGUGUAGCAGUGAAAUGCGUAGAUAUCAAGAGGAACACCAGUGGCGAAGGCGAGUCCCUGGACAACUUCUGACGCUGAGGCACGAAAGCUAGGGGAGCAAACAGG